rnacentral:rRNA from 1 species
AACGAACGCUGGCGGCAUGCCUAACACAUGCAAGUCGAACGAGAUCCUUCGGGGUCUAGUGGCGCACGGGUGCGUAACGCGUGGGAAUCUGCCCUUAGGUUCGGAAUAACAGUUAGAAAUGACUGCUAAUACCGGAUGAUGACGUUAAGUCCAAAGAUUUAUCGCCUGAGGAUGAGCCCGCGUAGGAUUAGCUAGUUGGUGUGGUAAAGACGCACCAAGGCGACGAUCCUUAGCUGGUCUGAGAGGAUGAUCAGCCACACUGGGACUGAGACACGGCCCAGACUCCUACGGGAGGCAGCAGUGGGGAAUAUUGGACAAUGGGCGCAAGCCUGAUCCAGCAAUGCCGCGUGAGUGAUGAAGGCCUUAGGGUUGUAAAGCUCUUUUACCCGGGAUGAUAAUGACAGUACCGGGAGAAUAAGCCCCGGCUAACUCCGUG